rnacentral:rRNA from 1 species
UACAGAGGUGGCAAGCGUUGUUCGGAAUUACUGGGCGUAAAGGGCGCGUAGGCGGCCUUCUAAGUCAGACGUGAAAUCCCCAGGCUUAACUUGGGAACUGCGUCUGAUACUGGGAGGCUUGAGUGCGGGAGAGGGAUGUGGAAUUCCAGGUGUAGCGGUGAAAUGCGUAGAGAUCGGGAGGAACACCCGUAGCGAAGGCGGCGCUCUGGGCCGGUACUGACGCUGAGGAGCGAAAGCGUGGGGAGCAAACAGG